AAAUUGCAGUUGAUACUGUCAGUCUUGAGUACAGUAGAGGUGGGCGGAAUUCGUGGUGUAGCGGUGAAAUGCUUAGAUAUCACGAAGAACUCCGAUUGCGAAGGCAGCUCACUGGACUGCAACUGACACUGAUGCUCGAAAGUGUGGGUAUCAAACAGGAUUAGAUACCCUGGUAGUCCACACAGUAAACGAUGAAUACUCGCUGUUUGCGAUAUACAGUAAGCGGCCAAGCGAAAGCAUUAAGCAUUCCACCUGGGGAGUACGCCGGCAACGGUGAAACUCAAAGGAAUUGACGGGGGCCCGCACAAGCGGAGGAACAUGUGGUUUAAUUCGAUGAUACGCGAGGAACCUUACCCGGGCUUAAAUUGCAGUGGAAUGAUGUGGAAACAUGUCAGUGAGCAAUCACCGCUGUGAAGGUGCUGCAUGGUUGUCGUCAGCUCGUGCCGUGAGGUGUCGGCUUAAGUGCCAUAACGAGCGCAACCCUUAUCUUUAGUUACUAACAGGUUAUGCUGAGGACUCUAGAGAGACUGCCGUCGUAAGAUGUGAGGAAGGUGGGGAUGACGUCAAAUCAGCACGGCCCUUACGUCCGGGGCUACACACGUGUUACAAUGGGGGGUACAGAAGGCAGCUAGCGGGUGACCGUAUGCUAAUCCCAAAAUCCUCUCUCAGUUCGGAUCGAAGUCUGCAACCCGACUUCGUGAAGCUGGAUUCGCUAGUAAUCGCGCAUCAGCCACGGCGCGGUGAAUACGUUCCCGGGCCUUGUACACACCGCCCGUCAAGCCAUGGGAGCCGGGGGUACCAGAAGUACGUAACCGCAAGGAUCGUCCUAGGGUAA
rnacentral:rRNA from 1 species